GAUAUGUAUCUGGCCACCUAGCCAGAUCUGAUUCCUUACUCUUAGGGGAAAGCAUUGAGGAAAGAGGAAGAUAGGCAUAUUCAGGUACCUCUUUCAUAUCAUUACAUAAUGAGACGACAUAAUGACUAAGGGCAAUGAGCCUUCCAGGAGAUACCCACGAGACACUGGCCAACCAGAUAGCCAUGAGAAACUCAUAAGCAGGACCUGAGUGUGUCAGUACACUCCACUCCUGAAAUUUCCAGCAACUGGUAUUCAGAAACAUACUGCUUCCAACAAUGCAGGCAGAACACAGCCAACAUGACCACUAGCCAUUUGAUCUAUUUGAUCUUCUUUCAAAAGCAUCCAAGUUGGUGGCCAUUACUGCCACUUGCGGGAGCAAUUUUCAUCGUUUGUACUGUGUGAAGAAGUACUUUUUCUUUCCUGUCCUGAAUCUUCCCAAGGAGGCUUUGAUGUUUCGCCUCUUUCUCGGAUGCAGGUGCACGACACCUUUCAGAGCGAUGCUUUGAGAUUGCUCUGAGUCAAAGUCUGGGAAGUCUCUUGGCUUCCAUAGUUUUAAGUUUUCAUCCACUUGUUUAAAAAUGCAGAGAUACAUCCUCAUAGCAACACACCUAUUUUAAAAUGCAAGAGAACAGAUGGGGGUCUCUUUGGGAAACCUAAUAUAGUUCUCAAGACAUAGCCAGGAACUGAUUCCAGAUCUAGAGCACAACAGUGGAUCCACACUGCCAUCUCAAAUUUGAUUUUAGCUCCCAAUAUGUUGUUUUGAGGUGUGUAUUUUUUGGGGGGGACAGACUCCCCAUAAAUGUUGGAUUUAGUAAAAGUGAGGAUCGAUCAUGGUUUUAUUAAAACUCCACCAAACACUGCUUGAUUAUGUUUAGGAUAACAAGCUAGCCCAGCUUGACGUAGUUGGCUCAGCACAAGCCAUUAACAAAGGCUGAAAUGGCCAGUCAUCAACCCAUUAAAAGAAGCCAUCACAAGUCUGGAGACUGCCAGGCACACAAGGGGAGGUUGCCAAGGGGCAAUGAAGUAAGCAGAAGAGGAAGUCACAUUUGGCAAGGGUUUCUGGGAAGAAAAAGGAGGAGGAUAGGCAGAAGCCAUGCAGGUGACUGGAGCAGGCUGAUGGCACAGAGGCAC